rnacentral:rRNA from 1 species
GAUGAAUGCUAGCGACAGGCUUAACACAUGCAAGUCGAGGGGCAGCAUAAAAGUAGCAAUACUUUGGUGGCGACCGGCGCACGGGUGAGUAACGCGUAUGCAACCUACCUAUCAGAGGGGAAUAACCCGGCGAAAGUCGGACUAAUACCGCAUAAAACAGGGGCACCGCAUGGUGAUAUUUGUUAAAGAAAUUCGCUGAUAGAUGGGCAUGCGUUCCAUUAGGUAGUUGGUGAGGUAACGGCUCACCAAGCCGACGAUGGAUAGGGGAACUGAGAGGGUGGUCCCCCAGACUGGUACUGAGACACGGACCAGACUCCUACGGGAGGCAGCAGUGAGGAAUAUUGGUCAAUGGGCGAGAGCCUGAACCAGCCAAGUCGCGUGAAGGAAGAAGGAUCUAUGGUUCGUAAACUUCUUUUGCAGGGGAAUAAAGUGCAGGACGUGUCCUGUUUUGUAUGUACCCUGAGAAUAAGGAUCGGCUAACUCCGUGCCAGCCGCCGCCGUAAGAC